rnacentral:rRNA from 1 species
UGGCGAACGGGUGAGUAAUGUAUCGGAACGUAUCCAAUAAUGGGGGAUAACGAGUCGAAAGAUUCGCUAAUACCGCAUACGCCCUACGGGGGAAAGCAGGGGAUCUUCGGACCUUGCGUUAAUGGAGCGGCCGAUAUCUGAUUAGCUAGUUGGUGAGGUAAAGGCUCACCAAGGCGACGAUCAGUAGCUGGUCUGAGAGGACGACCAGCCACACUGGAACUGAGACACGGUCCGG